CUGGGCGUAAAGCGUGCGCAGGCGGAUUGUUAAGCAAGAUGUGAAAUCCCCGGGCUUAACCUGGGAAUGGCAUUUUGAACUGGCAGUCUAGAGUGCGUCAGAGGGGGGUGGAAUUCCACGUGUAGCAGUGAAAUGCGUAGAGAUGUGGAGGAACACCAAUGGCGAAGGCAGCCCCCUGGGAUGACACUGACGCUCAUGUACGAAAGCGUGGGUAGCAAACAGGAUUGGAUACCCUGGUAGUCCACGCCCUAAACGAUGUCAGCUGGUUGUUGGGGGAGUGAAAUCCCUUAGUAACGAAGCUAACGCGUGAAGUUGACCGCCUGGGGAGUACGGUCGCAAGAUUAAAACUCAAAGGAAUUGACGGGGACCCGCACAAGCGGUGGAUGAUGUGGAUUAAUUCGAUGCAACGCGAAAAACCUUACCUACCCUUGACAUGUCCGGAACCCUGCAGAGAUGCGGGAGUGCUCGAAAGAGAACCGGAACACAGGUGCUGCAUGGCUGUCGUCAGCUCGUGUCGUGAGAUGUUGGGUUAAGUCCCGCAACGAGCGCAACCCUUAUCAUUAGUUGCUACGCAAGGGCACUCUAAUGAGACUGCCGGUGACAAACCGGAGGAAGGUGGGGAUGACGUCAAGUCCUCAUGGCCCUUAUGGGUAGGGCUUCACACGUCAUACAAUGGUCGGUACAGAGGGUUGCCAAGCCGCGAGGUGGAGCCAAUCCCAGAAAGCCGAUCGUAGUCCGGAUUGUUCUCUGCAACUCGAGAGCAUGAAGUCGGAAUCGCUAGUAAUCGCGGAUCAGCAUGUCGCGGUGAGUACGUUCCCGGGU
rnacentral:rRNA from 1 species